rnacentral:rRNA from 1 species
AUGUGGCCUACGUGGGACGUCCCGCGCUCUCCUGGAGACCAGCCCGUCCGCCCGCUCCUCGCCGCACCGCCCGGCGAUCGCCACGCGCGUCCCGGGCCCGCGCGCUCGUGGGCCGACGAAGCGGACGACGACGACGGCCCCCCGCUCCCGCCGCCCCCGCCGCUCGGCUCCUCCCGCCCCGUGCGCCUCGUCGACGCCCUCGCCUCCCGCUCCAAGGACGCCGCGCAGGCCCAGGCGCGGGCGCUCCCUCCCCCUCCCCCGCUCGGCUCGUCCCGCCCCGAGCGUGUCGCCGGCCACCGCAUGGAUGACGACUCGCCGCGCAGCGAUGGGAGGAGCUCCAGCCCCGGAGGCGGCCAGGGCGCGCGCCGCCGCUCGCGCUCGCCACGCGAACGCGGGAAGCCGUCGCCGGAGCGCGUGCACGUGCCGCUCCCGCCCCCUCCCCUCGUUGGCUCCUCCCGCCCCGUGCGCGUCACCUACCGCUUGGAGAGCGACUCGUCGCGCUCCUCCAGGAGCUCCAGCCCCGCAGAAAUCAUGGGCCCGCCGCGGCGGAGGUCGCCUUCGCGAUCAAACGACGGGAAGAGGCGGCGCCGCUCCCCGCCGAGGAGGUCGCCGUCCCCCGACCCGCCCAAGCGGCCUCGAAGGGACGAUGGGGCUGGCCGACGCAGCCCACCGCGGGGCGGGAGGUACGAGCGCGGCGGAGACGGUGGCAGGCUCGCCGGGCAUCGCGCUCCAGAUGGGCCUAACUCUGGCUAUGGUGCUUCCAGUAAGGUUCAAAAUAUAACCCAAAGAAAAGGAUUAAUGACGUACAAACAGUUUAUCCUAGCUCUUGAAGAUGAUAUUUCACCAGCUGAAGCUGAGAGCAGGUACCAAGAAUACAAGACAGCAUACAUUACUACACAGAAACAUGCCUAUUUUGAUCUCCAUAAGGAUGAUACUAGGUUGAAAGAGAAGUACCACCCAACAAGCUUAUUAUCUGUUAUUGAAAGGAGGAAUGAGUUUUGUAAGGCUGCAGCGAAGAGUUUAAUUCUUGAUUUGCGAAGUGGAACUUUGGACCUUGGUCCUGGAAUGACUGCUGAUGGAUCAAGCAAAUCAGGGAAUGACAACUGUGGAAGCUCUGGGAAUGGUGAAGAUUAUGGUAACAAGAGAAGAAAGAAUGGAAGAGGUCCCCCAAAAGAAUCUGGACCACUUUCAACUGCUCCGAAAGCUCAUCCGGUCAGUUCAAAGUAUCGACGAAUUCAAACUGACAUAGAUCAAACUCUAGCUUUAGUGCGAAAGCUUGACUCGGAGAAGGGUAUUGUCGGAAACAUUCUGUCAAUUGGUGGUGAUCAUGGCAAGCCAGAUGAUGACAGAUCACAUGUUGGAUCCGCAGGGCCUUUAGUCAUUAUCCGAGGCUUAACUACUGUCAAGGGCCUUGAUGGUGUUGAGCUCCUUGACACUCUCCUUACCUACUUAUGGCGUGUCCAUGGUGUUGAUUACUAUGGCAUGUCUGAGAGGAGAAACGCAAAUGGUUUUCGUCAUGUGAGAGCCGACAACAAAAGUGCCGAUGCGUUUAACAUCAGUGCUGCUGAUUGGGAGAAAAAACUGGAUUCCUUCUGGCACGAAAGACUGGUGAAUGGCGAGGAUCCUCUAGUUGUAUUGACUGCCAAGGACAAAAUUGAUGCAGCAACUGUUGAAGCUCUGGCACCUUAUGUCAAGAAAAUUAUGGAUGAGAAUUAUGGCUAUAAGUAUGGGUGUGGAGCCAUGGGCUGUACAAAAGUUUUCCAUGCUCCCGAGUUUGUUCACAAGCAUCUAAAGCUCAAGCAUCCUGACUUGGUCUCUGUGUUAACUUUGAGUGUCCAAGAUGAUAUCUAUUUCCAAAAUUACAUGAAUGAUCCAAAUGCCCCAGGUGGAAAGCCAGUUAUGCAGAAAUCUGAACAAGACAGUGGCAGAAUGAGAAGAAUACCAGAUGAGCAGGGUUCAGAUGCCCCACUUAUCCCUGACGCCCCUCCAACAGUUCUAGUCCCUCUGCCUGGUGCUGGCCCAUUGGGACCAUUUGUUCCUAUACCACCAGAUAUGGCCGUUCAAAUGAUGCGAGAGCAAAGACCUCCAAGACCGAAUGGUGCUCAGCAUAAGAAGAAACCUUUGAUGCCUGAACCAAUGAUGCCCAUGUAUCCGCAUUUUCCGCUUGAUCCUCGUCCUUUGCGAAGGUACAAUGAUCUUGAUGCUCCUGAGGAGGAAGUCACUGCCAUUGACUACAGAAGCGUGUAG